rnacentral:rRNA from 1 species
AUUAGCGGAUGACCUGUGGCUGGGGGUGAAAGGCCAAUCAAACCGGGAGAUAGCUGGUUCUCCCCGAAAGCUAUUUAGGUAGCGCCUCGUGAAUUCAUCUCCGGGGGUAGAGCACUGUUUCGGCUAGGGGGCCAUCCCGGCUUACCAACCCGAUGCAAACUGCGAAUACCGGAGAAUGUUAUCACGGGAGACACACGGCGGGUGCUAACGUCCGUCGUGAAGAGGGAAACAACCCAGACCGCCAGCUAAGGUCCCAAAGUCAUGGUUAAGUGGGAAACGAUGUGGGAAGGCCCAGACAGCCAGGAUGUUGGCUUAGAAGCAGCCAUCAUUUAAAGAAAGCGUAAUAGCUCACUGGUCGAGUCGGCCUGCGCGGAAGAUGUAACGGGGCUAAACCAUGCACCGAAGCUGCGGCAGCGACACUGUGUGUUGUUGGGUA